AUGGUGAACUUCACUGUAGACUAGAUUCAGGCCAUCAUGGACAAGAAGGCCAACAUAUGCAACAUGUUUGUCAUCACCCAUGUGAACCAUGGUGAGUCCAUGCUGACGGACUCUGUGGUGUGCAAAGCUGGUAUCAUUGUGUCUGUUCGCACUAGUGAUACCUGCUUCACUGAUACGCGGAAGGAUGAGCAGGAGUGCUGUAUCACCAUCAAGUGAACCACUGUCACUCUCUUCUGUGAGCUUUCUGAGAAUGACUUGAACUUUAUUAAGCAGAGCAAGGAUGUCUCUGCCCUCCUCAUCAACCUCAUGAACUCUCCUGGGCCCGUGGACUUCUCCUCAGAAAUGACAGCUGCCAUGCAUGUCACUGAUGGCUCCUUGGUGGUGAUGGACUAUAUGUCAGGAGUGUGCAUGUAGAUACAGUACAUCAAGCCCAUACUCAUGAUGAACAAGAUCGACCAUGCCCUGCUCAAGCUGCAGCUGGAUCCUGAGAAGCUGUACCAGACCUUCUAGCACAUUGUGAAGAACAUCAACAUCAUCAUCUCUACCUUCAGUGAGGGCCACAGUGGCCCCAUGGGCAACAUCAUGAUUGACCCUGUCCUUGGUACUGUGGGCUUUGGGUCUGGCCUGCAUGGCUGGGCCUUCACCCUGAAGUAGUUUGCAGAGAUGUAGGUGGCCAAGUUUGCUGCCAAGGGAGAGGGCAAGCUGGGGCAUGUCAAGCAGGCCAAGGACAUGGAAGACAUGAUAAAGAAGCUCUGGGGUGACUGGUACUUUGAUCUACACAAUGGCAAAUUUAGCAAGUCAGCCACUAGCCCUGAGGAAAAGAAGCUGCCCUGUACUUUCUUCCAGCUCAUUCUUGGUCCUAUUUUUAACGUGUUUGAUGUGAUCAUGAACUCCAAGAAAGAAGACAUGGCAAAAUUGAUCAAGAAGCUAGACAUUAAGCUGAACAGUGAGGACAAAGACAAAGAGGGCAAGCUGCUAUUCAAGGCUGUGAUGUGUCACUGGCUGCUGGCCGGGAACACGCUGCUGCAGAGAUCAUGAUCCACUUGCCAUCCUCCAUCACAGCACAGAAGUACUACUGCAAGCUUCUAUAUGAGGGUGCCCCAGACAACAAGGCUGCCAUAGCCAUUAAAAGCUGUGACCCCACUGCCCCGUAAUGAUGUACAUUCCCAAAAUGUUGCCAACGUCCAAUAAAGGUCAGUUCUAUGCCUUUGGAUGUGUCUAUUCGGAGCUGGUGUCCACCAACCUGAAGGUCCAGAUUAUGGGUCCUAACUACACCCUGGGAAGAAAGGGGACAUCUACCUGAAGCCCAUCCAGAGGACCAUCCUGAUGAUAGGCCACUAUGUGGAGCCCAUUGAGGAUAUGCCUUGUGAAAACAUCAUGGGACUGGUGGGUGUGGACCAGUUCCUAGUGAAGACUGGCACCAUCAUCACCCUUGAUCAUGCCCACAACUUCAUGUGAUGAAGUUCAUUGUCAACCCGGCCGUCAGGGUGGCCAUGGACGCCAAGAACCUGGCUGACCUUCCCAAGCUAGUGGAGGGGUUGAAGUGGCUGGCUAAGUCCAACUCCAUGGUGCAGUGCAUCAUUGAGGAAUCGGGAGAGCACAUCAUCCAGGGUGCCAGUGAGAUGCACCUGAAGAUCUGCCUCAAGGACCUGGAGGAGGACCAUGACUGCAUCCCCAUCAAGAAAUCAGACCCCAUGGCCUCGUACCAGGAGACAGUCAGUGAGGAAUUGAAUGUGAUGUGCCUCUCCAAGUCCCCCAACAAGCACAACCGCCUGUACAUGAAGAUGCAGCCUUUCCCAAAUGGCUUGGCUGAGAACAUGGACAAGGGUGAGGUGUCCACCAGCCAGGAGCUAAAGCAACGUGCUCCCUAUCUGGCUGAGAAGUGUAAGUGGGACAUGGCAGAGGCCUGCAAGAUCUGGUGCUUUGGCCCUGAUGGCACCGGCCUCAACAUCCUCACAGACAUCACCAAGGGGGUGCAGUAUCUCAAUGAGAUCAAGGAUAGUGUGGUUACUGGCUUUCAGUGGGCCACCAAAGAGAGGGCACUAUAUGAGGAAAAUAUGCUAGAGUACACUUUGAUGUCCAUGAAGUGACCCUGCGUGCUGACGUCAUCCACCAUGGGGGUGGUCAGAUCAUCCCCAUGUGCAACCCUGCCUAUAAGUCAGCGUUCUGACAGCACAGCCGUGCCUCAUGGAGCCCAUCUAUCCUGUGGAGAUAGUGUCUGGAGCAAGUGGUUGGGGGAUCUGUGGUGUCCUGAACAGCAAGCGAGGCCAUGUCUUCAAGGAGUCCCAGGUGGCUGGCACCCCCAUGUUCGUGGUUAAGGCCUACCUGCCCAUCAAUGAGUCCUUCGGCUUCACUGCCAACCUGCAGUCCAACACAGGUGGCCAGGCCUUCCCUCAGUGAGUGUUCAACUGCUGGAAGAUCCUGCCUGAUGACCCAUUUGACAACAGCAGCUGCCCGAGCCUGGUGGUGGCAGAGACCUGCAAGCACAAGGGCCUGAAGGAAGGCAUCCCAGCAUUGAAAAAAUUCCUGGGCAAGUUGUAG